UUGAACGCUGGCGGCAUGCUUUACACAUGCAAGUCGAACGGUAACAGGUUAAGCUGACGAGUGGCGAACGGGUGAGUAAUGCAUCGGAACGUGCCCGAUCGUGGGGGAUAACGCAGCGAAAGCUGCGCUAAUACCGCAUACGAUCUGAGGAUGAAAGCGGGGGACCGUAAGGCCUCGCGCGAUCGGAGCGGCCGAUGUCAGAUUAGGUAGUUGGUGGGGUAAAGGCUCACCAAGCCGACGAUCUGUAGCUGGUCUGAGAGGACGACCAGCCACACUGGGACUGAGACACGGCCCAGACUCCUACGGGAGGCAGCAGUGGGGAAUUUUGGACAAUGGGCGCAAGCCUGAUCCAGCAAUGCCGCGUGCAGGAAGAAGGCCUUCGGGUUGUAAACUGCUUUUGUACGGAGCGAAAAGGCUCUCUCUAAUACAGGGGGCUCAUGACGGUACCGUAAGAAUAAGCACCGGCUAACUACGUG
rnacentral:rRNA from 1 species